rnacentral:rRNA from 1 species
GAAAGUAAACAAGGGCGCAUGGAGGAUGCCUAGGCUCUCGGAGGCGAAGAAGGACGUGAUAAGCUGCGAAAAGUUACGGUAAGGCGCAAAUAGCCCUAGACCCGUAAAUAUCCGAAUGGGGCAACCCGGCCAGCAAUGGUCAUACCGCCAAGCGGUAAGCCAACGCGGGGAACUGAAACAUCUAAGUACCCGCAGGAAAAGAAAAUAACAAUGAUUCCGCCAGUAGUGGCGAGCGAACGCGGAACAGCCCAAACCACUCGUGUUACGGCACGAGUGGGGUAGAAGGAUCCACGAUACGGCAAGAAAUAAGUUAGCAGAAUACGAUGGAAAUCGUAGCCAAAGACGGUGACAGCCCAGUACGCGAAAACCGACAGAAGCCCAGUGGACACCUGAGUAACCCAGGACACGAGAAAUCCGGGGCGAAUCAGCGGGGCCCAUCCCGUAAGGCUAAAUACUCCCGAGAGACCGAUAGCGAACCAGUACUGUGAAGGAAAGGUGAAAAGAACCUCGAACAGAGGAGUGAAAGAGACCCUGAAACCAUGCGCCUACAAGCGGUCGGAGCAUGUUAAAAUGUGACGGCGUGCCUUUUGCAUAAUGAACCUACGAGUUACUCUCGCUGGCAAGGUUAAGCGAUUCAGUCGCGCAGCCGAAGCGAAAGCAAGUCCGAAUAAGGCGUACAGUCAGCGGGAGUAGACGCGAAACCAAGUGAUCUACCCUUGGUCAGGUUGAAGGUUGGGUAACACCAACUGGAGGACCGCACCGAUAAGCGUUGAAAAGCUUACGGAUGAACUGAGGGUAGGAGUGAAAGGCCAAUCAAACUUGGAGAUAGCUCGUACUCCCCGAAAUGCAUUUAGGUGCAGCCUCGAAGUAAAGUGAUAGAGGUAGAGCGACUGAUAAGAUGCGAGGGCUUCACCGCCUAUCAAGUCUUGACAAACUCCGAAUACUAUCACUUGAUCUUUGGGAGUGAGGGCAUGGGUGCUAAGGUCCAUGUCCGAAAGAGGAACAACUCAGACCACCAGCUAAGGUCCCGAAAUAAGGGCUAAGUUGAAUAAACGAAGUAAAACUGCAAAGACAGCUAGGAUGUUGGCUUGGAAGCAGCCAUUCAUUUAAAGAGUGCGUAACAGCUCACUAGUCGAGGAGUUUUGCAUGGAUAAUAAUCGGGCAUAAGCCCUUUACCGAAGCUGUGGAUGUCGUAAGACAUGGUAGGGGAGCAUUCCGGCGGCGACGAAGGCCGUCCUCGAGGACGACUGGAGCUUUCGGAAAAGCAAAUGUAGGUAUAAGUAACGAUAAAGGGGGCGUGAAACCCCCUCGCCAUAAGACUAAGGAUUCCUGAUCAACGCUAAUCGGAUCAGGGUAAGUCGGGCCCUAAGGCGCAGCCGAACGGCGUAGCCGAUGGAAGAAACGGUAAAGAUUCCGUUACUGGAUAUAGGAGCGAUGUGGAGACGGAGAAGUGACACACCCGCCUGCCGACGGAAGCGCAGGUUAAAGGAAGUAGGUAAACGCCGGGUAGGCAAAUCCGCCUGGCGUGCCGAAGCUGACAGUAUCGAGAGCCCCCGGGCAAUCGAAUAGCGGUGGUAAUCAGGCUCCCAAGAAAAUCCGCUAAGCAUAUUCUAUAUUCACCCGUACCCCAAACGGACACACGUAGUCGGGUAGAAUAUACCAAGGCGCUCGAAAGACUCACGGUUAAGGAACUAGGCAAAUUGACCCUGUAACCUCGGGAAAAAGGGUCCCCAGUAAGAUGGGGCGCAGAGAAUAGGUCCAGGCAACUGUUUAACAAAAACACAGGGCUGUGCGAAAUUUCAAGAUGAAGUAUACAGCCUGACACCUGCCCGGUGCCGGAAGGUUAAGAGGAGAGCUAAUCGCAAGAGAAGGCUUGAAUUGAAGCCCCGGUAAACGGCGGCCGUAACUAUAACGGUCCUAAGGUAGCGAAAUUCCUUGUCGGGUAAGUUCCGACCUGCACGAAU